rnacentral:rRNA from 1 species
UACGUAGGGUGCAAGCGUUGUCCGGAAUUAUUGGGCGUAAAGAGCUCGUAGGCGGUCUGUCGCGUCUGCUGUGAAAACUCAGGGCUUAACCCUGAGCUUGCAGUGGGUACGGGCAGACUAGAGUGCGGUAGGGGAGACUGGAAUUCCUGGUGUAGCGGUGAAAUGCGCAGAUAUCAGGAGGAACACCGGUGGCGAAGGCGGGUCUCUGGGCAACAAUUGACGCUGAGGAGCGAAAGCGUGGGGAGCGAACAGG